ensembl:miRNA dre-mir-181b-3 dre-mir-181b-3
CAAAGGUCACAAUCAACAUUCAUUGCUGUCGGUGGGUUGGAUUGUAAAAGAAAGCUCACUGAACAAUGAAUGCAACUGUGUCCCAGAUU